rnacentral:lncRNA from 1 species
UGUAGCCCCAACACUCGAUGAUCAGGGACAAAAAUUUGACAAUUCUUUUGGACAGAAUUCAUCAAAAAGAACUAAUUGUGUCAAGAAUGCAAAGGUUGGAGAUCAUUUUCACUAAGAUUUAAAGGUUUGGACAAGGGGUUGAAAAGCGGAGCAAUUCGUUCACCAGCUCAGCUCGUGCCUAGACAAGCUGUGAGCAUGAUAGAGCAGUGAGCUGCUGGUCAACUCGCAUGAGCUGCCUCUAGAGACGACGAGCUAGCUUGUGACGAGCCCUCGAGCAACUUGCUCAUUUUCUUGCAAUCCGAGAUCAUUCUCUACUCGCCCCAUGCAUGCAGAACAUAAAUUAAUGGCAGAUGCCAUUUUGAUUUGAAAUGGCAGUUCCCAUUUCUUUUUUCAAUGGCGAUGGCUGAGGCCAUGUGCAGUAAUGCCAUUUUCAGCAUACUGUCAUUGAGUAACAAAAUUUUGUUACACCUCUUCUAAAGGUUUCAAGUCACGAUCACAUGGCAGUCAGGUAACAAAUUCAAUCAGGCUCUCACUUCAUGUUAUCAUCCCACGUGUCUGAACUGAGGUCAUAAAUAAGGUAGCUAAAGUGAUGUAUCAACCAGUGGCGGAACGGGAAUAGGGCCUUGUGGGUCAUGUGAUCUAUCAUCAUUGGUUUGACCUCUGCUCUCCGGUCUCCCUCAAUCCCUGUCCUAUGUAUGCCGGGUUGACCGGGGAGGCCAUGAUGUGAGGAGGGCCCACGACGAGUAAAAUAAUCGUGAACCCUCCUCUUGUGAGAGGAUCGGUACACCGUCAACCCCAGUGUACGAGUAGACAAACCCAAUGGAGAAUCGUUGACUCCUGACACUCAAACAGGAAUCAGGAAAUUUUUUUUGCUUUUUAUAUUGAUAGGAAACCUCUCCAUCGUCCGUCCCCGCUUGAACUCCGUACGUUCCACCUCACUCUCAUUUCAGACCAGGUCAGUUUUCUCUCUCUUUCUUCAUUUUUCUCUCUCUACAGUUUAUACACAUAGAGUCACAGAAACGGAACCCUCCUCAGAGACAAUUUAUUCCUAAUUUUUAAGAAUUGAAAUGGAUUUUCCAAUAAUAUAUGUUUGAUUUAAAUCAGGGAGGAGGACUUUUUUUAUUUUUGUUUUGAUUUAUGAAUUAGUGGAAAUUUAGUAAUCUGGAUGUGAAAUUGUGAAUUAUGUUGUGUUCUAUACACCAUUUACAUAGUUUAUUGUGAAUAUGAACUUUUCAAGUUUAGUGUAUGCAUCUCAGUUUUGACUACAUGCCUACCAUUAGCUGUAAAUCCCGUUCAAGUGUCAUUGCCUAAAUUAACCCUAAAUUUGUAUAUGUAUUAUGCUGAUUGCUUGCUUUUGAUUGUUUUGAUUGAUUAUUUAUAUUAAUUAUGAACAAAUACUUUAGAUGUAAAUUUGCGUUUUUUAGUGAUGAGAAAAAUAAUGAAAGGAUCUAAGAAAAUGAAUAAUGCUGCUUGGCCGGGGUGAUUGACGGAAGAUUGGGUGAUAUGGUGCUGUGGCAACAAUUGAUUGGAUUUUGUGUUUUUUUUUUUAAUUAAAAAAAAAUGCCAAUUAUGUGUUGACAUGUGUCUCCCUAUUUUUAAUUCUAUUAUUAAGUCUAUCACUAUAGCAAGGCUGUGAGAAAAUUGUAACAAUUUUCACAACUUUUUUUGUAAGUUCAAUUGUGUCCAUCUAACUUAAAAUAUUUGUGUCCGUCACUGACAUCCCCUCCUCUGAGUUGUCAUGUAGAAGCUAACCCUCCAUGGCCUAGGCAAGGUACUGUAACUUGUUGCAAAAGUGAUCCAAGGAAAUUAGCCUCUUUAUUAAUGGAACAUAUUUCAUAUUUUACCAGUUUUAAGAGAUCUUUCGUACGAGAUAUUUUUAUGAUUGAUUAUUGUGACAUUUCUACAAUAGUCACCUAAACAGUCAACUUAUCAAUUUAUUUUUUUGAGGUCAAAUCUAGGCUCUAUAGUAGCUACUUUUUCGAGAUAUUAAAUGUCAAUAAUCCUAAGAUUGAUGGAGUGACACCUAGCAGGAGACACCUGGACCUCGACCAUGAGAAUGAUGUCACGUGUCUUUCCAUUCAACAAUGAUAAUUUUUCAUUUUCUACUACAAAAGCUCACACUCAUUUGGAGGUAAUAUAAAAUACACUCAACUAUAAUAUUGUUCUCUCGUUUUUACUUUCUAUAAAUCCCUGGUUUCCAAGCACUUUUGUGACUCACAUCUUCAACACGUCCCAUACCCAAAUACGCUAUAAAAGUUGACCGACUUGACUGUCGGAGUACACGGAGUUGCCUCCUCCAUCAUAAGAGAAUGUUACAUGUUGAUAAUGAUUUAUCCAAGUGUGCAGAAGUUUAGCUAUGUGGACAUGAGUGAAAUCGGGAUUUGCUGGCCACGUCAUCCGUGUAUGAAUUGAGGUCAACCCACAAUCUCUGUACUAUUUAGCCACAGUUAACAAUAUAAUUUUACAACUAUCACUCUCCGAAUUUAACAAUAUUAUCACUCUCUUGAUUUCACAAUUUCGACGAAGAUAAUAUUUUGACAACUACUUAUAUUUUUGUUUUUGCGUUAUUUUACCUUAUUUUACGUAAUGGCUAGGUCAUCAUCAUAUUUUUGGAACAAAGAUAGUUGUUCAGUUUCUUAUCUAAUUUUUCGAAGAUCCA